UUCCAGGGGUAUGAAGCUGAAGUUGGAACCAAGGGUGACUUUGAUGAAAGAAGAUACAAUGUUAUUUUGCUUUUACAAGCACUUUAAAGAAAGGGCCAUGAGACGAGCAGGAAAGCUGGACCUCACAAAGAACAGAGAGGAAAUUUGGAAACAAUAACCCCGGCUUCGGCAACGUCCACGAGUUGGAUUUCACAAAGAGCAGUCUUCCAUAACAUGCUGAUAAAACCAUGACUUAACAGUUUCUCUUUCUUCUCAUAUUUCUCCCUCCCCAGUGCUGCUGUUUUUCACGACUCAUGAAUGUCCUGACAGAUGGUAUCAAUAGCUCAUCUAUAUUCUCAUAUUUCUAUGAAUGUAGCAUACAUCACCAACUUGAAAAGUUAGGAUUGUUAAUAAUAAAAUAUCUUUGCUUGA